rnacentral:rRNA from 1 species
GCAAGUCGAACGGCAGCACGGGUGCUUGCACCUGGUGGCGAGUGGCGAACGGGUGAGUAAUACAUCGGAACAUGUCCUGUAGUGGGGGAUAGCCCGGCGAAAGCCGGAUUAAUACCGCAUACGAUCUACGGAUGAAAGCGGGGGACCUUCGGGCCUCUCGCGUCAGGAUAUGCCUAGGUGGGAUUAGCUAGUUGGUGAGGUAAUGGCUCACCAAGGCGACGAUCCCUAGCUGGUCUGAGAGGAUGAUC